ensembl:lncRNA
GACCAUUUUAAUGUUAAAUUCUAUCCCAUUACUUCCACUUCCUGUUAUACGUUCUUAUUUUACGAAUAAUGAGCGACUGUGCCUGUUGGUAGAUUUAGUUCAUGUUCACCAUGUGAUGCAAUAGUCUAUCGGAAGAGUGGGCGUGUAAAAGAUAGGCGUGGCUCCCUGUUUGGGCGUGUGAGAGAGCAGCCUGUUAUAUUUCGCAUUGGACAGUUCCUACAACCCAUACAGGCUGGCUAAGCUCUCGCACGCUUUUGUUCAAUUAGUAAACUCAGUCUAUCUAGCGUAGCUAUCUGUAAUGUGAGAAAAUAGACAUCAGACAAUAAUAAUUUCGCUCUUCAUGUGGAUUUCUUUUGACGGCGUUUAUUUACUAAAUGCAUGUUGUGGUCAGCCUGUAGUGGCAUUUAGAAUGGAAAAUUAUCUACUUUGUAGUUAGCUAGUUUGUCAUAACGUGCGAAACUAAAACUGAAUAUAUGUGCAAGGUGUCGGACCAGGCAACUGAUAUUUUGGAAGGACAGAUUUGAUCCAAUUUUCAGACAAACUUUCACCAGGUUGAACUUUUGAAAAUCUUCUGUUACUCUUCACUAGACAGGUGUUAAACCUUUCGCGUUUGUGUGGAAUCUUUUUUUUUUUAAUUUUCCCUCAGCAGAAGUCUUAUGGAGAGGCUUUUCAAACUGGGUGUUUUUAUCCUCAAGCGACUCUGGAUAUACGUACUGUGAGAUCGUAUAGCCGCUUACCCCCAGAGGCCACGUUGAAUGUUGACUUUACAAGAAUAGUCAAAAACGCCUAACUUCACCAUUAUUUGAAUGCCUUUGCAAGGAUUUUGCUGGUUUCUGUGCUGCAGAAAGGGUUUCAAUUUACUCGGACGGGACUAUGGGGAGAAAGAGGAGGAAGAAUCUUUUGAGUUGCGCAACAAGGAGGAUCUGACUUGCAACGGACGGGGUCCACUUGAGGUUACUCUCUCUCAGCCACCUCGUACAGCCAAUGGGACCAAUGGGUAGGUGUCUGACUUUGUGUGUUAGUAUGUGCGUGUGUGUGUGUGUGUGUGCUUUUAGGAAGUCAGUGUUCCAGUUUUUCAGUACAUUUACAUCAGUAGUUCCUCUUAGUCUGUUGGCUGGUGCUCUAUGA